CUUGAGGUACCCCGACCCGGCCCCUCUUCCCACCCCACUACCUACUAUACCUGGAGCCCAUCAUCCCUUCUGCGGCUCUCUCUGUAGGUUCAAGAAUAUCGCUCUGUCAUAAAAACAGUGCUGGGUGUGGGUGCAAUUAUUAAUAAUAAUCUCCGGGGGCUUGCUGCAAUCCUUCUUCGGCCGUGAUUAGUGUCAUGCAGGCAGUGCAUUUGAUGACUGCCCACAAAGAGAGAGAUGUUCGGGGAUAUUUUCGGGGGGAUUUCUCUCUGUCCCUCUCUCUGUGUGUGAGAGCGUUAUGUUAGUGAGGAUGUUGUUGUCUUUUCCCUCUCCUUGUUAGGCUGGUCGGGGAUAUAUUAGGUAAAUUAGAAAGGGAUUGGCGAUUCAUUUUUUGAGGAGGAAAAUAAAAUAAAACGAAAGGGACGUAUGAAGGGAAUCUAAAAAAAAGAAAAAAAAAAUCUUUUCAGAAGAUAACAUGGUGGAAUUGAAAAGUCGACAGGGAAGAAUUGACAGAAGGCAGAAGCCUGUCUGUCUGUCUGUUGGUCGGUCGGUGUGGCAGUCUUUUUUCUUUCUUUUAUAACACUGUUAUUUCUUGUUCCUCACUCUGUACAAAGAGUUUCAUAGUUAGUACAGGUUAGCAUAGAGAAGACCAAAAAAAAAAAAAUUAGAAAAAGAGGAACAAUAAAGGAAGAAAAGAGAUCAAGAAAAAAAGAAAACGAACUAAUACUGUGCCUUCUCCGUUGCCUCAAUCGCGGUCCCAUUCUGUCGAUCCUGCCGGAGAACAGCGCUAUAGCCAUUGGCCAGAGAGCAAAGGGUGCGUAUAAGUUAGUAAAUAACGGAG
rnacentral:sRNA from 1 species